GCUAGUGUGGCUCAGUGGAUACAGCGUCAGCCUGGAGACUGAAGGGUCCUGGGUUCGAUUCCUGUCAAUGGCA
rfam:Myotis brandtii contig198956, whole genome shotgun sequence.